ACCAGUUAUGCAGCUAAGUGGCUGUGCAAAUAGACACUGUGAUUUCCUUAUGCAGUUGUAACUGCAUGCAGGAAAGCCUCGUGUUCAUUGCUGUUACAACUUACAGGAGCAUUAAUUAGGAAAAUACAUUUAGUAUGGCCAUAGAGCCAAAGAUUUUCCACUGUGGAUUGAAUUUUAGCUUCCACUUUGUGUCUACUGGUAAGAUCUGCCUUGAAAAGCCAGCAGAUUAGAUGUGGCCUGUGGUAGAUUGAUUCUCCGAGACUUGAAGUAGCUCACAUAUUUGAUCUGAGGGAGAAACAGAUAGCAGCAGAAGGUUGCCAUCCAAUCCUUGGACCAGUGAGAAGAUGAAGGUGACAACACAGCCAAUGGAUUAUAAAAUGCAUAGAGAAAAUAUGAGCUUGACUCACGUCCCUUCUGCAUGCACUAUUUGGAUCACUGCACACUAUCCUACAAUAUAUUUUCUGACAAUUCAACUUCUGGAACUAUAAAUAUAUGAGACCACUGCAUUUCUGAGAAGGUUCGGUGAAUGUCAGCAAAGCAGCCAGCCCCAUCGUAAAUGUUAAUAUCAUAUCAGACAAAAGGUACCUCCAAAGCAACAUUGAUGGAAAAAUCCCUAUGAAUAAUAAAAUCCUAUAACAAAUA